GCUCCAGUGAUUCAGUGGUAGAGUUCCUGUAUUUGGUGAGCGAAGACGCCUAGCUAUAACUGUCAGGAGGUCGCAGGUUCGAAUCCUACUCGGUGGCU